rnacentral:rRNA from 1 species
GAUGAACGCUGGCGGCGUGCCUAAUACAUGCAAGUCGAGCGAACAGACGAGGAGCUUGCUCCUCUGACGUUAGCGGCGGACGGGUGAGUAACACGUGGAUAACCUACCUAUAAGACUGGGAUAACUUCGGGAAACCGGUGCUAAUACCGGAUAAUAUAUUGAACCGCAUGGUUCAAUAGUGAAAGACGGUUUUGCUGUCACUUAUAGAUGGAUCCGCGCCGCAUUAGCUAGUUGGUAAGGUAACGGCUUACCAAGGCAACGAUGCGUAGCCGACCUGGGAGGGUGAUCGGCCACACUGUAACUGAGACACGGUCCAGACUCCUACGGGAGGCAGCAGUAGGGAAUCUUCCGCAAUGGGCGAAAGCCUGACGGAGCAACGCCGCGUGAGUGAUGAAGGUCUUCGGAUCGUAAAACUCUGUUAUUAGGGAAGAACAAAUGUGUAAGUAACUAUGCACGUCUUGACGGUACCUAAUCAGAAAGCCACGGCUAACUACGUG